GGGCGGGCCCUCAUGUCAAUCAAGCGCCGUGCCUGAUGUGGAGGGAGCGGAGGCUGCGCGGCGGAGAGUAGAGAGCUAGAGGGUGAGAAGCGCUGGGCCGGACCAGAACUGUCUUAGCUUUUCCCUCUGCGGCUGCUCUGGUUGGUUACUUUGAGCCUGCCUCCUCAGCGCCGCAGGAGAGACUUAACAGCAAAAAUGACUGUGUCCUGAGUUCAGCCCCCACUGCUCUGGGAGCUUCCCCCUGGUUUCUGCACCUGAAGAAUGUCAUCCCAGCCGAAGGUUCUUAGGAGCGGGGAGCGACAAAGAAAAACAAAGAAAAGCAGACCUGAAAAUUGGGACCUGGGAGAAAUAGACGAGUGCUCUAAACCAGUAUCAUGGCUCCAGUUCCUCUGACAAGGAUUCACAUGGGGUAAGUGCCCACUAAGGCAGAGGUGUCUACUUCAGCAGUGCAGAGCAACUCAGCUAAGUAGAGGGAAUAUGAAAUAGAACCAGAAGUCUAGCCUGCUUAGCUACAAAUGUUUCCACCAAAAAUAGUGGAUACAAAUGAAUUAAAAGUAUGCACAGUUUGGUGUCUGCUUGAACAAUGGGCACAUCCAGUGUGGAGAGCUUAAAAUGACUAUUUUUAUCCAAAAGAGGAACUAUUUCCCAAGCUAGAUCCCAGAAUAUGAGGCCUGAGACCACCUCAUUCCUAUGGCUGAGAAAAGUAAUACAGAAUUAUGGAGGCUGGCACGUCGGCAUGUCCAAAAUUUGCAGAGUGGGUAGCAGGCUAGUCCAGAGAAGUGCCAAUAUUGCGGUUUAAGUCCAAAGUCUGUUGGCUAAAGAAUUCCCUCUUGCUUGGAGGAGGUCAGUCUUUUGUGCUAUUCAGGCUUUCAACUGAUUGGACGAUGCCCACCCACAUUAUGGAAGGCAAUUUGCUUUCUCCAAAGUCCACCCUUUCAAAUGUAAAUCUCAUCCAAAAACACUCUCACAGAAACAUCCAGAAUAAUGUUUGACCAGCCA
rnacentral:lncRNA from 10 species